ensembl:snoRNA
UGGACCAGGCAUGAUGCCUUGUAGCAUAUGGGCCAUGGAUGAUGAAUAACACAUGUCUGGAACUUGAGGUCCAA